GACGAACGCUGGCGGCGUGCUUAACACAUGCAAGUCGAACGGAAGGGCGCUGCUUGCGUCGGGUGCCAGCGGGGCGCGCGGGUGAGUAACAUAUGAGUCACCUGGCUUUUACUUUGGGACGACCUCAAGCAGCCGGGAAUACUACCGGAUAGGAGCUCCUGCUGCAUGGUGGGGGUCGGAACGUAUCGGCGGAUGGGGAUGGACUCGCGGGUUAUCAGCUUGUUGGUGGGGUAGUGGCUUACCAAGGCUUCGACGGGUAGCCGGCCUGAGAGGGUGACCGGGCACAUUGGGACUGAGAGACGGCCCAGACUCCUACGGGAGGCAGCAGUGGGGAAUAUUGCACAAUGGGCGGAAGCCUGAGACAGCAACGCCGCGAGCGGAAUGACGGCCUUGUUGUUGUAAACCGCAUUCGCCUGUGACGAAGCUUUAGUGACGGUAAUGGGUAAAUAAGCACCGGCUAACUACGUG
rnacentral:rRNA from 1 species